rnacentral:rRNA from 1 species
AUUGAACGCUGGCGGCAGGCCUAACACAUGCAAGUCGAGCGAUCGGCGGACGGGUGAGUAAUGUAUGGGGACUGCCCGAUAGAGGGGGAUAACUACUGGAAACGGUAGCUAAUACCGCAUACUCUCGGAUAACCCAUAUAGGAUUAGCUAGUUGGUGAGGUAAUGGCUCACCAAGGCGACGAGCCCUAGCUGGUCUGAGAGGAGGAUCAGACACACUGGGACUGAGAGACGGCCCAGACUCCUACGGGGGCAGCAGUGGGGAAUAUUGCACAAUGGGGGAAAGCCUGAUGCAGCCAUGCCGGGUGUAUGAAGAAGGCCCUAGGGUUGUAAAGUACUUGCAGUCGGGAGGCGUUACCGACAGAAGAAGCACCGGCUAACUCCGUGCCAGCAGCCGCGGUAUUC